rnacentral:tRNA from 1 species
AAUAAAGUAAGUUAAUAAAAACUAUUGAGUUGUGAUCUCAAACAUAUCAUAGAUCUUUAUUA